rnacentral:lncRNA from 1 species
CCGUGAUCCCACAUGUGGGGACAUUGUGAGAUUUUUGAUAAUUUUUUGGUAAGUCUCAUGUUGGUACAAUAAUUUGGCUUCCUGUUUUGUGCAGGAUUUGGAAAUGAAAGUGGCAUUCUAUAGUUGAAAGAAGUUUUGUCAUCAGUGAUUUGGGUUUAAAUCCGACUCUGAGUAGCAGUGUAACUCUGGGCAGCUCUAUCAAGAUUUUGGACAGAGUAUGUCAGAAUCAUGUCUAUAAGAUUCAGUGUGGACUAAUGCAAAGUGAGCCUGGACUGGAAGUCAGAAGAACUGGAUACAAGUUCUAAUGUUAUCUGAGAGCAGGCCUCUGUUAAUAGGUCUUGUUACCGUGGCAGAGACAACGGGAAAAUAUAGGCUAAUCAGAAGCAUUGUGCACAACAAUGAAACCUUGCAACUCUAUGUAUAUUGACGUGUGUGGGCGGGGGGGCAUAUCAGGUUACUCAAGAUGGCUAAAACUGACUGAAUCAGUAACCUCUAAUCUGUAAAAAACAGCAGACUCCCUAUAAUUCCUUAAAAUAAAUGUGGGUUUGAGAGACUCUCCCUGAGAUAAAUAAUACCCUGACCAGACUUCACAGAUCUAACACUAUGCUGGUAAUUCUGUGUUGACAUAUCUUGAAGAAAUGUUCAUUAGGUCCUGAGAAGCAAAGGCAGGGAAGAGGUCCCUGGAGUUUACUAGCUUGUGCCAGAUCAUCAGGUAAAGAUAGGAAAAUUAUUUGGCUGAAAAGAUUUUUGAAAAAGGGACAGUGAAAUGCUCUUGAGGUAAAUCCAGGUAAUGAAAAGAUCAGGAAAAAUUGACCCUGAAGAAAAAGAAUUAAGGCGAUAUGGCGACUUCUGGAAAAGAUAAAGCUACCAAAUACCUCUGUGUGGAGAUGGCUACCAAGAACAUAGGCAUUGAAUGGUGGCAUCUGAGUGAGUGGCCCACUUUGUUGGAGUUGCCCUCAGGUGAGGUAAGUUCAUGUCUUGUCUCUCUCCUUGAUCUUUAUAUAAUCCCCUGGCGCUUUACACUGACUCCACGACUUCCUAAUUGUGGCUUCUUGGCAAGUUCCUUAGCCUCUCUAAG